UAAGCUUAAGAAUACCGAGUCCAUUUAAGAGAGAGUGAUGGACAAAUUUUGUAUAUAAGUGAUUGAAUUGCUUAUCAAAGGCUCGCCUGAGGCGUGCCCGAGGUGCGCUCGAGGCGCACAGACGCAGCCCAUAGCGCCUGAGGAACCCAAAGGCGCACGAUCUCCAGUCCACGCCCAUGCAAUCACACAAAGUAAACUUAUAAAAGAAGAAGGAGAAGAAGAAAAAGAAGAAAGAUCUGAAAAACCUGACUUGAUUUUAUCCUCUCUUAGGCUCGGGCUUAUCUAAUUUCUGAUCUGAAAUACAGGAUUGUGAACUUGUAUCCAAUGGAGGGAGUUGGGGGUGAGGGUGCCUCAGGGGCAUCACCUGUAGCCCAAUGGGGACAUGAUGCUUGGAGGA
rnacentral:misc_RNA from 1 species